CAACGCUAAUUGUGAGUAAACAUCGAUACGGGGUAAGGAUAAUCCGUGCUUCGAACGCCUACACAGAUGUAAUUGUGCAACAAUGACGAGUAUCGCGAACGAAACGUAUAUACGUCAGUUUUGUUUCGAGAAUAAAUUGAGUGAUCGCGAGGCAGAAGUAAGUACAAGUGACUGAAUACACGUAAGGUAAGUGAGCGAGUGUUUAAGUUGAGUCAAGAGCUAGCGUGUAAACGCGUAAGUCGUCGCCUUGCGUUUAGUUGGCAUAGCGAUGAGAUUUGCAGCGACCUACUUGGGGGCCCUCGACCCUACGGUAGCGGUAGCAGCGGCAACAGCACGAUCAUCGCCAACCAUCGGCAUUGAUUCGCUGCGAUUUGUACGACGUCGCGAUGAAAAAACGUUAUUUUUCAUUACAAAUCGGAACGGGUGAGGAGAAUUCGAGAAAUCUCAAGGCUUCCGAAUCAAAAUUAACCGAAAACGCUCGUGAUCCAAAAACGAAAGAAAAGGAGAAGGAAGACGAAAUUGAUCGUUCCAAGUCGCGCGUAAUAUUUUGUCGGUCCCAACCGGAGCGGCGACGCCAGGACGAGACGAGUAAAAUAUCCACGUAGGAGCGAAGGCCCCAACGAAGGGAAAAAUCACAAUGGGGUCCCUACGAACGUUGUUGCCCUUCUCUUGGCCUCCUCUCAGAGAUUCUUUGCCAAUAACCGGUCGGGCAACGUACCGCCUGUAUAAGACGAUUAUUGUACGGGGAGAGCGGAGAGACUGGAAGGAGAAAAAGAGAGAGGAGACGGAGCACCAGCGCGGGAGGAGGCAGGAGAGGAGCACUGCCUAUCGAUCCUUGAGAGCAUACAGACCAGUACCGAUAUACCGACCAGGAAACACAUGCCUAGAUGUGGACGUUGUACCUGCAUGGGUAAGGGCGGGCAGCGGACUGAGAAUCGCGACACAGACCCAAAAAGUAUAUAAGAAAAACAGGAGAUGAAAAAUUAAUAGCGUUCUUUGCUAUCGCCUAUCAAGGGACUCGGUGAAACGGGAGUACAAGAUGCUCUCAGGUCGAUGUAACAUUGCCCACGCAGACGAUAGAACCAGAGAAGAAAAAGAAGCGAACCCAUUUUCACCCACGCAUGGGGUGCGAACGGGAGUAGCGUAGCUGUGAUUUCGCUCCCUCUGCAUCCGUUAAAAUUGUAUCAGCCGGUUAGAUUAGUCCAACAAAUGAUCAUCUGUACGAUGGGAUUCUUGAAUGUGAAAUGGUAUCGUGGCGUCGUUAAAAAUCGAUGAGUUUGAAACGCCGCGGCGCAGGUUGUCAACGAGUGCGAGUAAGGGGCAGGAGGGAGAUGAAGUAUAAACGAGAGGAGAGAGGAGCAAAGCGGCACCAAGAAAAGAACAACAUGGCUGCCAACCUGCA